rnacentral:lncRNA from 1 species
UGAGCUCAGCAAACUAUAAUGAUUCCACAAUUUCCCAAAAAAAUAAAAAUAAACCGGGAAUGAUGAACUGACUUAUUUGAAAAUGCUUUUGCCGACUCGAGAACUCCAGUACAUACACAAGAAAAGCUAACAAUACAGUACUAACAUGCUAUUGAAGUUACCUCGAGUAGGUGAUAUGCAAAAAUUAGAUUCUUCCCAAACUUAAAACGUUAAUGAGUGCUCAAGCCAAAAGUAAAAUACCCAUACACAAAGCUGAGUCCUUACCAAAUACAUAUCGAUGCAUUCUGAUAAUUAUAAAAACCUCCCGAACCUGGGUUACAUACACACUCAAAUUCAUAAUUUCAUUAAGGAUUCAAAGCCCAUCGACCCUUCAUCAGUAACCAAAUCUACAGAGCUGACUACAUGCAGACCAAUAGUUCUAAUGACAACUCUAUUAUGAUUCCAACAUAGAACUCAAAAGCAGGACUUCAUAUUAAACAUGUUAAGCUAAGGGAAUUGCCAUGAUCUUUGAAAGAAACAAGUUACAUUGGGAAAAGAAAGGCUAAUAUCUAACAGCAAAGGCCAUGGUUCUUCAUGUAUUCCAUCACAAAACCUUACAAUCCCUUUUACAUGCUUAAGAUCGAAAGUGAGUACCUGGGAAUAAAACAAACACAAGGCAGAGUGAGGAAGCCGCAGUAUCCAAGGCAGAAAUCAGCAACAACUCAACCAAUUACUUAUUACACUCCCUGCUUGACCCUUAAGCCCCCUUAAGUUUCUAAUAGCUCGAAUGUACCCCACCCUUAAGUUCCUUUUGUUGAACUAAAACCCCUGGAUAAUCUGAACAUUUACAUACUAAGCCAAACAAUUUUCAGAUAGAAAUUGAUAGGCAAAUCGAAUCUAAUGGCAUUAAUUUCUAAAACUUAAGAUGUGAAAUGAAAAUAAAAAACAAACCAAAACUAGAACAAUUGAACUAUAGUUAGCAGGAAACAAAUAAUAAAUGAAUUAAUUCGAGAUACGACCUUGGAAACAAUUAAUAGCUCUUUUACAGGGAAUCAAACCCUGAAUAUACUGAUUUGGAACAAAUUUCCUAAGUCGGAUAACCCUAAAUGAAGAACUAAUCUUCUAAAGAUUCUGAUGAAUGAUUCAACCCUACAUUAACUAGCUAACAUCAAUGAUUAAUCACAAGAGAAAGAAAAUAAAAAUUAAUGGCCUAAAACUAGAGCCAACUGAACUCCUUUCAUUCUUAAAUCAAAAACAGAAACAAACAAGAAGAAAAGAAGCAAAGGAGAAGAAGUUGAAGAAUGACAGGAGGAUGAGGAAACAACAAGGAAUAAGAAGAACAAGUACCUAGGGUUUGAAGUUUUGCCGGCCUUUGGUCUUUCAUGGAGUCCGCUGAUCUCGAACUAAGCCAAAACUAAUGCUAAUUGAUUGUUCUUGUCAAGAACAAUCGAUUCUCAUGACUUUUGAUUCAAAUCAAACUUGCAACCUCCAAGAAAUCAAACAAAGAUGACGAUUUUAAGACGGUCUUUUCUUUCAAAACUUAGAUCCGAGAUUUGAACACAUCGUUGCGUGUUUUUGGGUAGUUAAAAAUGGGCAUAGGGCAACAGAGGUGUGGUGAUUAUCCAGUUAAAAGGUGAACGACGUUUGGCACGGCGCCGCCCGCCAGUAGAGCUUGGGCAUUUUAGGGAGGCUAGGGUUAAAUGUUGUGAGAGGUGAGGGAGACGAGUGAGGGGUUGUUUGGGAUGUAUAUGUAAAAAUCCCUAUAUUUUUACGGUGAAAUAUAACUUCAAUUAUGACAAUGCACUAAUUAUUCAUCACUUUAGAAUUACAACCUAGCAAUUUCCGGCCUACGCAAC